AGCUCUCUCUCUCCCUGUCAGGGUGACCUGACCUGGCUUUUGACAGCAAAAACAGACUCCUCUACAGUUCCACAGCAGAUCUCAUGGACUGAUUCCGUUGCCCCGCCCUCAGAAACCAGCAGAGGAAGGGAGCAGGAGAGAGAGACACAAACAUCAUCGGUGAGAGACAAAUCACCGGUCGUCGGCUGCCCCCUACUGGGGAUUGAGCCCACGACCUGGGCCUGUACCCUUGACCGGAACCCUAAGGUCCGCAGGCCGAUGUCGUCGGCGGCGGCGGCGGCGGCGGCGGCGGCGGCGGCGGCGGCGGCGGCGGCGGCUCUACCCACUGACUGAGCCAAACCGGCCAGGGUCACACCUACUUCUUUUACUUAGUUACAGGCUCCCUUCAGACCAUCCCUGCCUGUGCUCGCUUGAGGCCUUUCAGUUUUCGAGACCGCCGUGCAGGCCUUCCCUGAUCUCCGUCAGGUUGUCUAGGUCUCGCUUACAGAUCAAGACGCGGCAGUAGAUGUAAUAGUGAAAAAAGACAGACUGGAACAGACAGAUCUGUUGUCGGUAGCCAUGGCCUCUGAUCCUGUCUUGACCGUGGAACAGAAGUGUUCGACAUAUACUUGCUAAAAAGCUUAUCUUAUGGAGAUAUGUGGGUGGAACAAUGGCGGGUUCUUCCUUCAAUGUUGAACGGUAACUUGUUUAAGAUCAUCGAAUAAAGACAAAAGUCGACGCCGAAAAA